rnacentral:rRNA from 1 species
AUUGAACGCUGGCGGCAGGCCUAACACAUGCAAGUCGAGCGAGCGGCGGACGGGUGAGUAAUGUCUGGGGACUGCCCGAUAGAGGGGGAUAACUCCUGGAAACGGUGGCUAAUACCGCAUACUAUCGGAUAACCCAUAUGGGAUUAGCUAGUAGGUGGGGUAAAGGCUCACCUAGGCGACGAUCUCUAGCUGGUCUGAGAGGAUGAUCGGCCAAACGGAGACUGGGACACGUCCGAGACUCCGACGGAGGCAGAAGUGGGGAAUAUGGCACAAGGGGAGCAAGCCUGAGGCAGCCAUGCCGGGGGGAUGAAGAAGUCCUUAGGGUGGUAAAGUACUUUCAGCGGGGAGGCGUGACCCGCAGAAGAAGCACCGGCUAACUCCGUGCCAGCAGCGCGGUAAUAC